rnacentral:rRNA from 1 species
ACGGAAGGCAGCAGUGGGGAAUAUUGGGCAAUGGGCGAAAGCCUGACCCAGCAACGCCGCGUGAAGGAAGGAGGCCUUCGGGUUGUAAACUUCCUUUAGCAGGGACGAAGGACGUGACGGUACCUGCAGAAAAAGCAACGGCUAACUACGUGCCAGCAGCCGCGGUAAUACGUAGGUUGCAAGCGUUGUCCGGAUUUACUGGGUGUAAAGGGCGUGUAGGCGGAGCUGCAAGUCAGAUGCGAAAUCCCGGGGCUCAACCCCGGAACUGCAUUUGAAACUGUAGCCCUUGAGUAUCGGAGAGGCAAGCGGAAUUCCUAGUGUAGCGGUGAAAUGCGUAGAUAUUAGGAGGAACAUCAGUGGCGAAGGCGGCUUACUGGGCUUUAACUGACGCUGAGGCUCGAAAGCGUGGGGAGCAAACAGGAUUAGAUACCCUGGUA